AGGACGAACGCUGGCGGCGUGCCUCAUACAUGCAAGUGGAGCGACGAACCAGGCUUCGGCCUGGGGCAAAGCCGCGAACGGGUGAGUAACACGUGGGUUACCUGCCCCGAUGAUUGGGACAACCCGAGGAAACUCGGGCUAAUACCAAAUGUGCUCCUGGCCGUGAUGGCCAGGUGGAAAGGAAGCUUCGGCCUCCGCAUCGGGAUGGGCCCGCGGCCCAUUAGCUAGUUGGUGGGGUAAUGGCCUACCAUGGCUCCGAUGGGUAGCUGGUUUGAGAGAGCGACCAGCCACACUGGGACUGAGAAACGGCCCAGACUCCUACGGGAGGCAGCAGUGAGGAAUUUUCCGCAAUGGGCGAAAGCCUGACGGAGCGACGCCGCGUGUGGGAAGAAGGCCUUCGGGUCGUAAACCACUGUCGAAGGGGACGAUAAUGACGGUACCCUUGGAGGAAGCCCGGCUAACUACGUGCCAGCAGCCGC
rnacentral:rRNA from 1 species